rnacentral:sRNA from 1 species
UAAUAAAAGUGUCAAAAUGUUUUAAAGAUUUGAAGAAAUGCUUUCAUGCCCAUGUCCUUCAAUCCUCUUUAUGAUUUAAAA